rnacentral:lncRNA from 1 species
CAAAGAAUGGAGCACUUAGCGAAUACCUGAGUGGCUUCAUCAGGGUCGCCAACAAUGCAGGUCUGGAUAACAUUUCAGGCAUGUUGACGCCACAUGGGCUCUACAUGGGUCUAGUUCCCAAAUCUACACUCUUCCCACAUAACACGUUGCCUCUGAGUUCAUCAGAAAAGAUGUACAACUCUCCCAGCUAGGAGCUCUAACUGAAAUUACAGAUCACUGGAAUAAAAAUAACUGGAAGAUGCCUGCACGACCUCUUCAUUGGUUUGCAAAUUUUUUCCCACAUUUCUUUGUUUAUAAAACCAAAACAAUGUAUUGGAUCUGUAACUUUGCGGAAGAAUCCUUUCCCCGUGAAGCUCACAGUAUUUCACAGAGGAAACUAAAGAAAAUAUUAGCCAAAAGCAGCAGCUCUUCUAAAGGGACCAAGGAUCUCCAGAUGAGGGGGCUCCCCCUAUGGAAACAUACGCACGCACGACUCCAUGAGGGACCUCAGUUGGCUGGCAAAGGAGAGGGAUGAUUCUGAGUACAUCACGUGGUGUCCUGGAACCGACACCACCUUGCAAGAGCCAAUUGUAUGCAUCUCUUCUCAGUCCUGCUUCAGUGACAUCACGUUGGUAGCGUGAAAUUGGCCAUGAUGGGAAUAGGCACACCAUGGAAAUCAGCAAAAACUACAUAUCAGGUUCCUCUUUCUUUUUCCCUCCCUCUCCUCUUCUCUCCUCUCCCUCUCUUAUUCCCUCCCUUCUUCCCUCCAUUCCUUCCUUCCUUAAAUACCAGCACAUAGCUGGUUAUAGGUACUUAAUGGAAAAAGUAUAAUUUUUGUAUGCUAAUCUUGAAUCUAAUAAAUUUUUAAAUAUUUUAUUAGUUCCCAUUUGUCUGUAGAUUCUCU